GAUGGGAUUGCAUUUUGGCACUCGUUCCAGUAAAGAGCCUCAUUUUUGUGUUAACAUUCAUGUUCCAAAUCAAUUUCCAUUGCUAUCUGGGUGUUUGAUAUGAGGAUGUUAGUUGUUCUGCUUGCUGCUUUGCUUGCUGCUUUGUUUCUGUUGACAUUAUGUGAUGGUAGGCACUUUUCACUGAGUUAGAGCUUGAGGUUGUGCAUGUCCAAACCAUCUUGUCUUUGUCCAUGGUUGAGCUGAUAGGAACAGCUAGGAUUUCAUUCGUAGUUCUUUCGUCAAAUAUCCCAUUAAUCAUAUGCUCUUUCCACUUGAAUUCCUCUUUGUCAAUUAAGCCUGCCACUAGUUUGGGGGCUGCCUCGCCACCAAUGACUCCAGAUCUUAGCCAGUCAUCUUUUCUUAUUCUGAUUUCAGUCCCAUCUCCUACCGACCAUCUCGUGCAUUUGAAAUGUGAUCCCUUCCUGUCAAGACACUUUGCCAUCCCCAAGACGAACAGGAGCCCCUUCGCAGUACUAGAUCUGCCUUCUCCAGAUGUAUAGGUUUGAAGUUUUUUGCUCAUUCGAGUGACAAGCUUUCUGACCUUUACCCUAGAUCCUGGUUCUCAUGCAAUGUAGCAAAUUGAGAACUUUGGGAAAUAUCUGCUAGAAUGGUGGGCUUUUGGACAUAUCUAAGAUAAAUGCAUAAUGCGGAUACUGUAGUUUGGGUUUCAAAGUAGAAUUCUGGGAUCUCUAUGCUCAUGCUCUGCCUUUUUUCCCCCUGCACAAUGAAAGGAGAUUUAAUCAAGAUGGCUAGUGUACAUGAAAUGGAACAAGAUUCCUAUUGCUGAUGAUUGCUGUCGGAAGAGGAUUACUAAAGUAGCAUUUGCAAUGAUUAACAAUAGAUCAACGUGUUGUUCUAAAGCAACAGUCCGCCAUGGCAGUAGAUGGCAGAAUUUACUUGUUUCAGGAAACACAAAUGAAGUGGUUGCUUCCUUAACUGUUUGUGUAGGCAAAAUUCCUUGGAUGUGAGCUAUGAUUCCGUUUAGUGGAGCUUUGGCUAUAAUUCUAGGCUUAAAAAAGAAAGAUUAUUCCUCUCAUUCUCUCCAUGCCUCCCUCCAACUUAACCCACCCAUUUGAUUCAUGCACAUGGAAGCAUAUGCUCAUACCGCCUGAAAUGGGAAAAUUUGGACUAGAAUCAUGAAGACAAUUCGAUUUGUGUUGACUCUUGCAUAACAUGUGGAAUAAAUGAAAAAGUUGGUCAAUUAGCCUGGAUAAAUACCUUCUUCAUGAAGGUUCUUACUUAAGGACAUAUAUGUCUGUCCUCAGCAGAUGUACAUUAUGGAAUCAUCUAGUCAACUUGAAGGUAUUUGUUUUGUUGGAAGAGCCUUCUGACAAGAAAAGUCUCAUGAGUCAGCACAGUUGAAUGUCUGAGGCUUGAGUUAUUGGCAAUUUUCGAAGAAAGCUUCAAGCAGAAUUGUAGGAGGAGGUAGUAUAUCCUUGAUGGACAAGUUUUGCUCUUGCAAUCUUUUGCCAUAUUCUGUUGUCUUACUUCAUUUUAGAGCAAUUGGAUUGUGUGAUUUUAUUGGCUUUCACCAGAGAUGGGCUCAUUCAUGGUCGUGUUAGGUAUGCUUUGUUCCAGACUUCAAGGAAUCAAGUGAUUAUGACACACAGUUCCUUAUUACCUAUGGCGGGAUGCCCUGGUGUUCCUCAAUCCUUCACUUAUGUUAUUAUAUGAAUCUUUUAGAUCUACUUGUUUUGACGAUUCCUUCAAUUGGAGCACUGUUGAUUGGAGUUGUUCCACAUUGAUUGAACGGUCUUAUUGCCGAUGUCAAAUGGUCUUGAGCCUUGUAGAUGAAAUCAAUGUUGCAAAGUCUCCUUGCUUGACUAGCCAAGUAAAAUUCUUAGGAGGUUAUGGAAUGUUGAUAAGUUUGCUCAUCUCUGUAGGUGCUUCUCAUCGCUAGCCUAGGUAGUUGGUAGUCUCAGCAGAGUCAAACUAAAAUGGAUGAACUAGCUAUUGAAAACUAGGGUUUCAUCAGUUUGAUACAGGAAACCUUCAGCAUGUCAUAUAUAAAGAAUUCAGACAGACGAUGGGCUGGCAGUCCUUCAGUAGAUGGAUGUGGAACAGAUGCCUGUUGAAAAAGCUGAAGAAGAUGCUAAUGCUACCGGGUUGCUAGAGAGAGGGUACUCGCAGUAUGAUGUCCUCAUUACUGGUGCAGGUGCUGCAUUAUGGCCCCUUGUUGCAGCAAGAUCUUUAAUUGCCAUCACUGUCAUAAUGAUGUGAAGACAUUUAUGCGGUAUCGUUAAAUUAUGUCUCGAGUAUAAGCCGUUUAUGGAAUCCAACCAUAUUGAAUAAAUAUCCAAGUUUGACAACACAAUAAAAUUGAAGAGUUGGACUCACCUUUGCCAAAGGUUGGACGAAUGGGAGGAAAGAAGUCCCCUGCCACUGCAAGACAAAAGGAGUUCCUCGUUGUGCGAAUAGCUGCCAGUUGCUUCUUUCUUUGAGAAGCGUGGAGUGGGUUCCUUAGCAAAAUGCAGCCGCACAAGAAGAAAGGGAGUACAAUGGCCGCACCGUGAUUUCCUGGGGAACGCCGCAUGAAGAGCGAAAGGAAGAAUCCGGGAGUGAGGCGCUUGUUGCUUGGCCGUAAACGGGGGCUAUACACACCGUGGAUUUGUGUUGAGUAUUUUUGCGAACACUUUAAAUUUGAGUCUAAUCUAGGUGUGAGAAACAUUUGAGUGUGUGAGCGACUGCAAACGUGGAUUUUCCCAUUAUUAGUGAAU